ACGGCUCAGUAACACGUGGACAACCUGCCCUCGGGAGGGGGAUAACCCCGGGAAACUGGGGCUAAACCCCCAUAGGGGAUGGAUACUGGAAUGUUCCAUCUCCGAAAGUCCGCAAGGAGCCCGAGGAUGGGUCUGCGGCGGAUUAGGUAGUUGGUGGGGUAACGGCCCACCAAGCCUAAGAUCCGUACGGGCCAUGGGAGUGGGAGCCCGGAGAUGGACCCUGAGACAAGGGUCCAGGCCCUACGGGGCGCAGCAGGCGCGAAACCUCCGCAAUGCGGGAAACCGCGACGGGGUCAGCCGGAGUGCCGAUGCUUGCAUCGGCUGUCGGGGAGCCUAAAAAGCUCUCCAAGCAAGGGCCGGGCAAGGCCGGUGGCAGCCGCCGCGGUAAUACCGGCGGCCCGAGUGGCGGUCACUAUUAUUGGGCUUAAAGCGUCCGUAGCCGGGUUGGUUAGUCUCCCGGGAAAUCUGGCCGCUCAACGGUCAGAAUUCCGGGAGAUACUGCCAGCCUAGGGACCGGGAGAGGCCGAGGGUAUUCCCGGAGUAGGGGUGAAAUCCUAUAAUCCCGGGAGGACCACCUGUGGCGAAGGCGCUCGGCUGGAACGGGUCCGACGGUGAGGGACGAAGGCCAGGGGAGCAAACCGGAUUAGAUACCCGGGUAGUCCUGGCUGUAAACGAUGCGGACUUUGUGUCGGACAAGCUAUGAGCUUGUCCGGUGCCGGAGGGAAACCGUUAAGUCCGCCGCCUGGGGAGUACGGCCGCAAGGCUGAAACUUAAAGGAAUUGGCGGGGAGCAC
rnacentral:rRNA from 1 species